rnacentral:tRNA from 1 species
UAGCUUAGUUGGUAGAGCGUGUGCCUUGUAAGCGCUAGGCCGCGGGUUUGAUUCCCGC